GAAUUGCGAUCAGUAAUGUGAAUUGCAGAAUUCAGUGAAUCAUCGAAUCUUUGAACGCACCUUGCGCUCCUUGGUAUUCCUUGGUGCAUGCCUGUUUGAGUAUCAUGAAAUCUUCAAAGUAAAUCUUUUGUUAACUCAAUUGGUUUCUACUUUGGUAUUGGAGGUCUUUGCAGCUUCACACCUGCUCCUCUUUGUUCAUUAGCUGGAUCUCAGUGUUAUGCUUGGUUCCACUCGGCGUGAUAAGUUAUCUAUCGCUGAGGACACUGUAAAAGGUGGCCAAGGUAAAUGCAGAUGAACCGCUUCUAAUAGUCCAUUGACUUGGACAAUACUUUUAUGAUCUGAUCUCAAAUCAGGUAGGACUACCCGCUGAACUUAAGC
rnacentral:misc_RNA from 1 species